rnacentral:rRNA from 1 species
GGGACAGUAGGCUGGUCGUGCCACCGGUACGUACUGGUCUCACUGAUUCCUCCUUCCUGAAGAACCGUAAUGCCAUUAAUUUGGUGUUGCGGGGAAACAGGACUGUUACUUUGAAAAAAUUAGAGUGUUCAAAGCAAGCUAGCGCUUGAAUACAUUAGCAUGGAAUAAUGAAAUAGGACGAUCGAUCCUAUUUUGUUGGUUUCUAGGAUUGACGUA